GGAAAGGCCACAAGAGGCUGUCACUCCCCUCUCAGUGGGAAAUUUCCUGCCAGGGGAGGAGAGACUUCAAGAAUCUUGAUUUCUGCUGAGAGACAACCGUAGAAGAGAAACCUACACAGGGCACCAAAUCCGGCCUGGUGGUAGAGGGACAGAUGAAAUUUAUCUUUCAAGGUCACUUCCACCUCUGUGUCCCCAGGGAGAUGAAUUCAAUUCAGCAAUUAUUUAGUCUUCACAGCCUAUGCUCUGCAAGGAUUAGAGAAGCCUCUGGGCUCUGUGUCACCCUCCCACAGAUGAGGAUGCCAAGGCCUAAAGUAGCGAAAUAGCUCAUCUGUUCAGUCAGCAGAUACGCAUCAUGGUGAACUGGGAAAACAGCGGGGAGCAGAUCACUUAGAAAAUAACGUAAUGGGGAGUUCCUGGCAUGGCGCAGCGGAAACAAAUCCGA